ACCAUCGCUUCCCUGUAAACCCUAACUUGUACUAAACCCCUCUUUCAUCUUCGUUCUCCUUCUGAAACCCUAGCUAAGCAAAUUGAGACCAAAAAUGUCGAAACUCGGGAAGAAAGCGAGGAAAUUCGCCAAGAAACAUCUUCCCUCUGUGAUGAAGAAGAGGCGAAAGCAAAAGGCUAUGUUUAAAAAGAAACCAAGAGGAGAGAAGAAAGAUGGUCCUACACAUAAAACUCUUCCUAAAAAGGAUUUAGAAGUUGAAAAUUAUGAAGAUGAUGUAGCUGUUGGAGAUGUUUCACUCGUGCCUGUAUUCGAUGGGUAUGAAACCGAUGAAUCAAUUGAAGAUGGUUCUGAUAGUGAUGAAUUUCUUCCAGAGACCUUUCAAGGUGCGUAUGAUGCUGCAGGCGAAAGCGACGAUGAAUCAGAUGAGGGCAAUGAUAGGCCUUUACAGGCGCAGAACAAGGAACUUCGUUUGGAACUUGCCAAGCAAAAGAAGAAAUUGGACCGCCUGAUCGAAAAGGAUCCAGAAUUUGCAGAAUUUUUGGAAGCUCGUGCUGAUGAACUUGAGCAAGAUAGUGAUUAUGGUGAUUCUGAUGAAGAAGCCGAAACUAGUGACCAGGAUAUGGUGGAAGCUGAUUCCAGCAUUGGCAAGCCUUUGACUACUGCAAUAAUUGAUUCCUGGUGUCGACUGAUUUUAGAGGAAAAGAACUUGUUUGUUCUUCCUAAUCUGUUGAAUGCAUACCGAGCUGCCUGUCAGUAUGGAUCUGGUGAUGCCAUCGAUGCAAUCUCACAGAGAAUUCAAAGUAGCAAGACGUUUGUUAAGAUAGUGAACUUUACCCUUCGUGAAGCCGAUAACAUAUUUCGAACACAUUUAGAAAUCCCGAGCCCUGACUGCGAGAAGCAUACUGUUCUGGGGUUGAAGAAAACUCAAAAAUGGAAAGACUCAGAGCCUCUGAUUCAGUCUUAUCUGAGUAGUACAAUUAUCUUUCUCAACCAUGUUACUGACUCUGAGAUACUUGCAUUCGCUCUAACCCGUCUGAGAGCUUCGACCAUAUUCUUUGCUGCAUUUCCGUCACUACUGAAGAAACUCAUCAAGGUGGCAGUUCAUCUCUGGGCAACUGGGGAAGGAAAAGUUCCAUCUGCAGCAUUUCUUAUCAUGCGUGAUGCUGCUACACAGUUGAGUUUAAACUGUCUCGAGUCCUGCUUGAUAAAAACAUACAAGGCCUUUAUUGCACGAAGCAAGUUUUUGGAGCCCACAAAUUUGUUACACAUAAAAUUUCUUGCGGACUCCCUUGUCGAGCUUUACUCUCUAGAUGUUCCGAGAUCAUGUAGCAAGGCAUUGGUAUCUAUCCAGCAACUAGCCACAAUUUUACGGCAGUGCCUACACACGAAGGAAAAGGAAACAAUGGAGAAGAUAUAUAGCUGGCAAUACAUCAAUUGUGUGGAUUUGUGGGUUAAGUAUGUCUGCGCAAACGUUGAAGAUAAUGACCUUCAGUUGUUGGUGUACUUAAUUGUUCAAAUCAUUAAUGGAGUGGUUCACCUUUUUUCUGGACCACGACACUUGCCUCUGAGAGUAAAAUGCAUUCAAAUGCUCAAUCAGAUUUCAAGUGCUUCUAGGGACUUCAUCCCUGUGACAUCCUUGGUGCUCGACUCUUUGGAGUACAUUGGAACUGGCAAGGCAGAUGCAAAAUCUGCAAAACCCUUUGACAUGUCAUUUGCACUAAAGGUCCCAAAGCAGUGGCUAAAAUCACGUCUCUUCCAAGAAGAGUGUGUCUUAUCUGUAAUUGAGCGGCUUUCAGCUCACUUUGCUCAGUGGAGCUACCAUAUAUCAUUUCCUGAGCUGGCAGCGAUUCCCCUAAUUCGUCUAAGAAAGUUCAAUGAGAAGACUACUGUUGAAAGUCUUCGACGUCCCGUGAAACGUCUAAUAGAUAUGGUUGAGCAGAAUGUUGAGUUUGUGAACAAGAAAAGAGAGGAAGUCGCCUUUUCACCAAAAGAUAAGGCAGCCGUUGACUCUUUUCUUCAGGAGAUCAAAGUGGACAGCAAGCAGACUCCUUUUACUCAAUACUAUACUGAUAUCAUUAAACAAAGCCUCUCCAGAAGUUCGGUCAUGCAAAGUAAACCAGCACAGAAGAAAUCGAAGAAAGGGAAGGCCGGUGUUCCCAAAAAGAGCACAAAUAAGGAGAAUGGGGAGAAAAGCUCGGAUUCAACCCAGAGUGGGAUAAUAGAGGGAAGAAAAAGGAAGAAAGGAAGCGAUGAGAGCAGUGAAUCAGCUCCAAAGAAAUCAACCCUAGAGGAAAAGUUGACAAUAGUUAACCACGACAACGCCACCACUGAGGAUAGUGCAACAGAUGUUUCCAAACAAGCAAAAGCCGAUCCAGUGGUUCAGAAGUCUAAUGGGAGAAGAGACGUAAGAAAAGUGAAGAAGUUGAAAACCCAAGGAUGAGCAAUAUCAUAUUCGCGAUGUUUUUUCUUUUGUAUCCUGCAAAAUAUGAAUCAAUUAGGUGGUAGCUUAAUGAAGACCUACCUCCAUUCCAGGGGUCAAUUUUUCAGUAAUAACUGUUGCCAUGCCAGGAGCCAAGGAGCAAAAAUGUGGCAGGCAAGUCAUGCUCACUCAUACAAAGUUAGCAUCUCAAUGUACUUGAAAAAAUAACCAUCACAGCAAACCGCUUUGACAGCAAGGCCAUGUGCACCACCACCACCGUCCCCAGUAACAUACAAUUUCCGUCCGUUCGAGAUGCUUCGUUUCCGAUUUUGGGGAGCAAACACUCUACCGUUCGAUUGUACCUUGUUUCAAUAAUCUAAUGACACGUAUAUUACGCGUCAAAAUUUAAUUUCGAAAAAUAAGGAAGAAAUAUUGAAAUUUGCUAACGACACUUGUGUGCAACAAUGAACCUGUUUUUGUGCUUCCUCCUUCAUUCUCCAGUUAGAGUGUUGUGAUUGAAACAAUUUUGUUUACUUUUGGGAACAGGGUUUUCUUCAGAAUAGAUGAAGCAAUC